rnacentral:rRNA from 1 species
GAUGAACGCUGGCGGCGUGCCUAAUACAUGCAAGUCGAGCGAACAGACGAGGAGCUUGCUCCUCUGACGUUAGCGGCGGACGGGUGAGUAACACGUGGAUAACCUACCUAUAAGACUGGGAUAACUUCGGGAAACCGGAGCUAAUACCGGAUAAUAUAUUGAACCGCAUGGUUCAAUAGUGAAAGACGGUUUUGCUGUCACUUAUAGAUGGAUCCGCGCCGCAUUAGCUAGUUGGUAAGGUAACGGCUUACCAAGGCAACGAUGCGUAGCCGACCUGAGAGGGUGAUCGGCCACACUGGAACUGGGACGCGGUCCAGACUCCUACGGGAGGCAGCAGUAGGGAAUCUUCCGCAAUGGGCGAAAGCCUGACGGAGCAACGCCGCGUGAGUGAUGAAGGUCUUCGGAUCGUAAAACUCUGUUAUUAGGGAAGAACAAAUGUGUAAGUAACUAUGCACGUCUUGACGGUACCUAAUCAGAAAGCCACGGCUAACUACGUG